CAAAAAAACCCCAAAUCCUUUAUUUUUCUUCUCACAAAAAUCUCAGUGUUUCUACAAUUACAGUAUUUUCCCCCAAAGUUACAUUUUUAAAAGUGUUUUUAGAAGUAUAAUGUGGGAGAGAAAUACUUAACUGAUCCAAAAGAAGGAAUCUGAUUCUUCAGAGGUUAAAUGUGGAAAAUACAACUGAUUCUAACAUAACGCUUCAAAGAUAGGAGAUUAAUCCCUGUGCUAAAAUGAAAGGACCAUGCUGAGGAAUUCAUUAGGGAAAGGAAGUCUCUAUUAAAUGAAACCUUUUCCACCCUAAACAUGUUUACAAUACACAUAGCCUAGUUGCUGUGGUGACCCCACAGCCCAACUAUUUUUCAGAAACAGUAGUUAAGACCCAAAAAAUGCAUGUCUCCAAAUUCAGAAGGUUGCUUCAAUAAAACAACCAAUUAUGACAUGUAUCGACUAAUUUUGAGGUAAAACCAUCGUCGUUGUCAAAAAGUACUUUGUGUAUCCUACACUAACAGAAUAUUAAAAGUGUACUGUUACCAUUAAACUUAAAAACAGUAGUUCCCUAAAUGGAUUCCACUUAACGCAGUUUUAAUGUUGAAAUAAAGUCAAGAGAGAGUUCCUGAGAAGGGAAGAUAGAACCACAAUACGUUGUAACUAAAACACUACCGACACUCUUAAAUAGUGCAGCACCAAGUUUUCCACGCAGUGGGGCGGUAAGUGGGAGAUGGCAAAGGGGGAGGGAGGACCUGAUCCACCAACCAAAGAGAUGCGUGAACCGUUCUGAUUCGGAAUAAAACUCCGGGGUCUUUACUUAAAUGCCCCGAACUUCAAACAGUGAUAGCCUGGGAAAAAGCCAACUCUAUCUUUCGACUACUUCAAUCAAGAAUGCCCCUUCUUUCCCGCCAAGGCCAGUUAAUAUUCAGCUCUUAAAAGACAGUUCCGAAGAAUGAAGAAGCCACCAGCCUUGCGGCAGCUGUACAUUAAUCGGAAAGUAAAGGGGGAGGAGGUAUGCUGGAGAGAAGCAGUUAAAGAAAUGAAACUUGACACCGGAUGAACAGCGAGCUUGGGGAGAGGAAGAGACGCGGAUGACCGUGUGCCCCCGAGGAGAUCAAAGUCCCGAGGAAGAGCCGCAACCUCACCGUGCCUGGGAACUUUCAAUCUUGGACCAGUCCCACUGACACCCUCAGAGACAUUACUAUCGGUGGCUUGCAUUGUUUUUAGAUUCUCUCACAUUAUCUCUUUUGAUCCUGUGGACAUAGACAAACAAUUCAGCGAAGGAUCCAGAGAUGGUGGAAAAAGCAAAGUCAGGCUGACAAAUGAAGGGACAACCUGGUCGCCAUGGUCUAUUGUGCCUAAUGUCUGGAAUACCUCGCUUCUGCCCCCUCCUCAUACCUUUCCCAGAGGCUCUCACCAUCUCUUGCUGGGACUAUUGCAGUAGCCUUCUAACUUCUCUCUCAGUGUCCAAGCAUUCCAGCCCAUCUUCUGCAAGCCCACAAGGAAAAUCACUGAAACCCACUCUUGAUUAUAUCAUUCAUCCGCUUGAGAGUGUCCAGUGGUUGAAUUCUCUGCUGCUUCCAGGAGAAAGUCCAAACUCUGGCCUGACAGGCCUGUGAAGAGCAAGGCUUAAAGACCAGAUCAUCAGCCUAUUUUGAUUACUGACCCUGUACAGCCUAGCCCUCUUUCAGCCUAAUCUCCAGCCUUACACACUAGAGCCCUGCCCCCGGCCCCACCCCCACCCCUGCAAACACAUCAAGCACAUCCAGGACUCCAACCUUUGUGUAUGUAGCUCCUUCAACCUGGAAUGUACCCUCCAUCCCAUAGAAUUCCUUAAAGGCAAAGAGCGUCAAUCAUCUCUGUACAUCCAGCAUCUCCUAGCCUAGUACCUCGUACAUAAUAGGAACUCAGUAAUUUAUUUAUUUAUUUAUUUAUUUUUGCCCAUGACUGUGGCAUAA